rnacentral:rRNA from 1 species
AAUAUUGGACAAUGGGGGCAACCCUGAUCCAGCCAUGCCGCGUGUGUGAAGAAGGUCCUCGGCUUGUAAAGUACUCCCAGUUGGGUGGAAGGGCUCUAGGUUACUACCUUGAAGUUUUGACGUUACCAACAGAAUAAGCACCGGCUAACUCUGUGCCAGCAGCCGCGGUAAUACAGAGGGUGCAAGCGUUAAUCGGAAUUACUGGGCGUAAAGCGCGCGUAGGUAGUUCAGUAAGAUGGGUGUGAAAUCCCCGGGCUUAACCUGGGAACUGCUUUCAUAACUGCUGGGCUAGAGUACGGUAGAGGGUAGUGGAAUUUCCUGUGUAGCGGUGAAAUGCGUAGAUAUAGGAAGGAACACCAGUGGCGAAGGCGACUACCUGGACUGAUACUGACACUGAGGUGCGAAAGCGUGGGGAGCAAACA